rnacentral:rRNA from 1 species
GAUGAACGCUAGCGGGAGGCCUAACACAUGCAAGCCGAGCGGUAUUGUUUCUUCGGAAAUGAGAGAGUGGCGUACGGGUGCGUAACACGUGUGCAACCUGCCUUUAUCUGGGGGAUAGCCUUUCGAAAGGAAGAUUAAUACUCCAUAUAUAUUGAACGGCAUCGUUUAAUAUUGAAAGCUCCGGCGGAUAGAGAUGGGCACGCGCAAGAUUAGCUAGUUGGUGAGGUAACGGCUCACCAAGGCGAUGAUCUUUAGGGGGCCUGAGAGGGUGAUCCCCCACACUGGUACUGAGACACGGACCAGACUCCUACGGGAGGCAGCAGUGAGGAAUAUUGGUCAAUGGGUGCAAGCCUGAACCAGCCAUCCCGCGUGAAGGACGACUGCCCUAUGGGUUGUAAACUUCUUUUGUAUAGGGAUAAACCUACCCUCGAGAGGGUAGCUGAAGGUACUAUACGAAUAAGCACCGGCUAACUCCGUG